rnacentral:misc_RNA from 1 species
CCGAGUUUACACUCCCAAACCCCCUGUGAACCUCUACCGAACGUUGCCUCGGCGGGGGCGCGGACGCGCGCCGUCCCGCCCCCGCCGGGGGACCCAAACCAAAAACUCUUGUAUCCUCCCAUCGUGGCAUGUCUGAGUGGAUUUAUCAAAUGAAUCA